rnacentral:lncRNA from 12 species
GGGGGACCCCAAAAAUGGGGGGGUGAGGGGGGAAACCAUAAAUGAGGGGAGAAAAAUGGGGGAUGAGGACAGUGGGAAUGGGGGAUUGGGGACAGGAAUUGGGGACAGGGAUGGGGACAAGAACAGGAUGGGACAGGAAUGGAGUUGAGGACAAGGGGUGGGGACAAGGAAUGGGGGACAGGGGACAAGGGCAGGGGACAAGAAUGGGACACAAAACAAGGACAGGGGACAGGAACAGGGGUCAAGGAAUGGGGACAAGGGCAGGGGACAAGGACAGGGGACAAGGACAGGGACAAGGGCAGGGACAAGGACAGGGACAAGGACAGGGACAAGGACAAGGACAAGGGCAGGUGACAAAGAAUGGGGACAAGAACAGGGGACAAGUAAUGAGGGACAAGGGACAAGAACAGGGGGACAAGGAAUAGGUGGACAAGGAAUGAAGGACAAGGAAUGAGGGGACAAG